AAGGAUAUAGCUCAACUGGUAGAGCACAUGCUUAGCAUAUGUGAGGUCCUGGGUUCAAUCCCCAGUACCUCUC
rnacentral:tRNA from 1 species